GCUCAGGUGGUGAAAUUGGUAGACACGCUGUCUUCAGGCGGCAGUGCUUAACGGCAUGGGGGUUCGAGUCCCCCCCUGAGCACCA
rnacentral:tRNA from 4 species